UGGGGAAUAUUGCGCAAUGGAGGAAACUCUGACGCAGCGACGCCGCGUGAGCGAAGAAGUCUUUCGGGAUGUAAAGCUCUGUCAGGAGGAACGAUAAUGACGGUACCUCCAGAGGAAGCCCCGGCUAACUACGUGCCAGCAGCCGCGGUAAUACGUAGGGGGCAAGCGUUAUCCGGAUUUACUGGGCAUAAAGGGCGCGUAGGUGGUUUAUUAAGUCAGAUGUUAAAGCCAGCGGCUCAACCGCUGUUCGCAUUUGAUACUGAUGAACUAGAGAUCAGGAGAGGAAAGCGGAACAUACAGUGUAGCGGUGAAAUGCGUAGAUAUUGUAUGGAACACCAGUUGCGAAGGCGGCUUUCUGGACUGAUUCUGACACUGAGGCGCGAAAGCGUGGGGAGCAAACAGG
rnacentral:rRNA from 1 species